rnacentral:rRNA from 1 species
GAUCCUGGCUCAGAUUGAACGCUGGCGGCAGGCUUAACACAUGCAAGUCGAACGGUAACAUAAAGAAGCUUGCUUCUUUGAUGACGAGUGGCGGACGGGUGAGUAAUGCUUGGGAAUCUAGCUUAUGGAGGGGGAUAACUACGGGAAACUGUAGCUAAUACCGCGUAGAAUCGGAAGAUGAAAGUGUGGGACCUUCGGGCCACAUGCCAUAGGAUGAGCCCAAGUGGGAUUAGGUAGUUGGGUG